GGGAACAUACCCUUUUCUACGGAAUAGCUCUGGGAAACUGGAAUUAAUACCGUAUACGCCCUACGGGGGAAAGAUUUAUCGGGGAAGGAUUGGCCCGCGUUGGAUUAGCUAGUUGGUGGGGUAAAGGCCUACCAAGGCGACGAUCCAUAGCUGGUCUGAGAGGAUGAUCAGCCACAUUGGGACUGAGACACGGCCCAAACUCCUACGGGAGGCAGCAGUGGGGAAUAUUGGACAAUGGGCGCAAGCCUGAUCCAGCCAUGCCGCGUGAGUGAUGAAGGCCUUAGGGUUGUAAAGCUCUUUCACCGAUGAAGAUAAUGACGGUAGUCGGAGAAGUAGCCCCGGCUAACUUCGUGCCAGCAGCCGCGGUAAUACGAAGGGGGCUAGCGUUGUUCGGAAUUACUGGGCGUAAAGCGCACGUAGGCGGAUAUUUAAGUCAGGGGUGAAAUCCCAGAGCUCAACUCUGGAACUGCCUUUGAUACUGGGUAUCUUGAGUAUGGAAGAGGUAAGUGGAAUUGCGAGU
rnacentral:rRNA from 1 species